CAGUCAUUAACAACUCAGAAUAUUGUUAUUGAAGGCCAAUAUCUUCUGUUUAGUUGAUUCCCCAAGUCAAAAGUGCUAUAGAAUGUAUGUAGGUAAAAUGCAUAUGCUUUUUAUUUCAAAGAUUGUCAAUUUGCUGAGUAGAAAACAGUGAAAUCUGUAAGUUCAUUAAUAUCAUCAUGUUAACUUCACUUUUUAAAAUUUAACAUACCCUAUGUUUUGGCUUGAUGGGAAA